GCAUGAGCCAACGUUAUACCUCAACGUGUAGAAGUUAAGCCACAGGUUGAAUGUCCAAAAGCAGUCAAACAACACAAUUUCUUCAUUUCAUCCAGUGAUAAACAUAUAAAAGAUGCCUUUAAAUGGAUGAUUCAGGCAGAUAGAAGAGAUGUGAGUGAAGAGUUCUACAAAGUACAACCUGAGUUGCGUGCCUUGUACAAAAGAAGAGCUUCCCAUGCUGUGGAGAGACGCAAGGAAAUUAGAGGAAGAAAUAAUUACAAUUACCAUGGAAAUGGAGCACAAGUUUCUCUUGGCUCAGAUCAUAGGUGGAGGGAUAGAGAUGGCCACUCCAGAUAAUAUAUGUGUAUUUGUUUUGUUAAUAAAACUCACAAAUUCA